AGAAGCCCCAGGGCAGGGUCCAGACCAGCUUGCUCAUGUGCUGACACACUGCCUGGCUUACACACAGGGAGCGAGGCAGAGCUGCGCCUCCUCUGCAUCCCAUCACCUCCAGGAACCCACUGCCUCCUGCAUCUUCAAAGUGCCGCCAACCCGGCCCUGGUCACUGCACUCAUGACCCCGUUGCUCCAAGCCUGGUCUGCAGGCCCUUCGCCUGGGCUCAUCCCAGAGGGGCAAGCUGGCCACCUUGAGUCCACAUUGCCAGCAGGCAGAUAUUUAAUGAUCCAACUAAUUUUGGAAAACAUUAGAAUAAAAAACCAUAGGGGAAUUUAAAUCCCAGGCCCUGAACCAUGCUCCCUUCUCCAUAGGGAAGCUGGCACCCCCAGCCCUGCGACCAACACCCACGUCCCUUCCUUCAUUCAAGGAAGGCUAGGGACCCUGAUCUGAAAAGCUACCCCAGCCUCCCCUGGAAACCUCCAGGUAUGGCCAGAGCCCUUCAUGUGGGCAGCUGGGGCCAGGUCGCUGAGCUUGGGGCCUGGCCCAGCUCCCUGUUCACAGCCAUCCUCCCCUCCGCAUCUGUGCCAGUGACUGCUCCUCCCAAGGACAUUCCCCAGGAGCUCCGGAGGUCUGGCUCUGCUCUGCAAAGGGUUGUUUAUCUUGCCUGGGAUUCCAAUCGCUGGUCUCCCGCCAUUGAUCUCCCUGGGGGGGUUUGCUUGGGUAUUUUUAUAAAUGCUACUUUGAUAGUUGCCCUUGCAGAGACUUGUUGUCUAUCAUGAAUGUCCUGCUCCAAACUAGGAACAGCCAAGAGGACCGCUCAUACCUUGAGACAGUUUAAAUGUAAAGCAGCGACAGCUUUCCAAGAGCCAGGGAGCUGCAGAGCCACAGGGAGAGGAGAGGGGGAGCCUCUGUGGGUCUCAAAUACAAUGCUGGUCAUCUCUGAAAUGCUUCUGUCCUCCCCAAACCCAGCAUAACGGCCUGUGAAAAGGUCUGUUCCCCCCUAGUAGAUCAAAUCUCCAAUUCUCAUGACUCCAAGCUGGCUUCAAAAUGUCGGCAGUGAAUCUUUACAUGUGAAUCUUUCUAUAUAGAAAAUAGGCCACAGGGAGGAACUUCCCUUACUGUUCCCCUACCUCUCUGCCCCGUCCUGAACGAGCCCACCGCCAAAACUCCUCUUCCUACGACCUGGCCCUGCCUGCCCAAAGUAACUAACUCCCUCCGUGACCUGGCUAAGCUAAGGCCCUAUGAACCCAGACCCUCAAGGUGGCCCGCCGGCCAUUUUCUCCCUGAAGAUGUGCCCUUCUGGUGCUGAGUAAAGCUUCAGGUCUGCCUCUAUUUUCCUUUUUGUAUUCUCUUUCACGUACUUUUGCUGUGUAUCAAGUAUUUUCUGUUUCCCACUUAAUCAGAUAGCCUGCAGAGGCACGACCCCACUUCCUGUGGACUAAGAACCAGGCCUCAGAGUUGGCAUGCUCAUUUGCAGCCCAUGUGCCUGGGCCCUCUUUGGAUCAAUGAAAGCCUUAGUGGAAAGCACUUAAUCCUAAACAAUAGUUUAUUGGCUCAUCCUCCAAAUUAUAGUAUCCAUUUGCUUGUGUAAACCCAGCAAUCACCAAUCAUAAGCAUGAACCACAAAAACCUGCUUCAAGUAGGAUUUAGGCCCAGUUUUCAGUUUGGGUCUGACACAUUAUACCUGAUCACAGGAAACCAUAAAUAAUUCCUAAGUUGGGUGUACAUCUAAUAAAGAUGUUUUCAUUGUUUGCAAAAUAAAACUCAAAUCAAGCAGGGCCACCAGGAAAGUAGGUGUCCAGACAGGGAGAGCUGGGCCUUGGCACUGACUCACUGCGACUUCUUGAAUCUAUCACCAGGUAAAAGAAGAUGCCCCUGUCUGUCUGCAGUUUUCACUUGGGAGAUUUUUUUUAGAAACAUUCAGUUAGGGGUUUAGGUACAGCCUAUUUUAGUUUGAAUCUAGAUGCUUGGUGUAGACUCUAGGCCUGCCUAGUCAUCAGCCAUCUCAUCUGCAGGGGAGGGAAAGGGAACCUGGGCCAGGAGCCAUGGGGCAGGACUUUGGGAAACCCCUGGGCCUAUGGGAAACCCAUUAGAAAUUUGUCCUGAUAACUGUUGUUCUGGUUUGGAUGUGAGGUGUCCCCCAAAAGCUCAUGUGUAAGACAAUGCAAGAAAAUUCAGAGAAGAAAUGACUGGGAUAAGAGAGCCUUAAGCCAAUCAGUGGAUCAUUCAACUGAUGAGAUUGAGUGGUAAGUGAAUGUAGGUGGGGUGUGGCUGAGGGAGGUGGGGCAUUGGGGCAUGAGUUUAGAUAUGUAUUUGUGUUUGGCAAGUAGAUAUCUAUCUCUCUUCUCUCUCUCUCUCUCUGCUUUCUGAUCAUCAUGUGAGCUGCCUCCCUCUGCCACAUUCUUCUGCCAUAAUGUUCAGCCCCAUCUUGAGCCCAAGAGGAAUGGUGUUGAACUUCUAUGGACUGAGACCUCUGAAACUGUGAGUCCCUAAAUAAACCUUUAUAAUUGUUCUAGUUGGGUCCUUUAGUCACAGUGGUGAAAAAGCUGACUAAAACAGAAAUCAGUACUGGGAGUUGAGGCUGUAGUUGUGAUGAACCUGUGUGGUUCAUGUUUUUUGGAGCAUUUUGGAAUUGGUGGGAGGAAUUUUGAGAUGUUUAGCAGUUCAAGCUGGAAAUGCUUUAGAUUGUUGUAAAUUGAGCUUAAUGGUUGAUUCUGUUAGAAGCUCAGACCAGAAUGUCAGUAGGACUGUGGACAGUGAAGACAGGGCUCAAGAGGGUUCAGAGAAGGAGGUCUCUAUUGGAAUUUUAAAUAGAGGCCAUUGGUGUUAUGUUCUGGCUGAGAAGUUGUCUGAAUUUUGUCUGUGUCCUGAGACGUUCUAUGAGGCUGAUUUUAAAAGUGAUGGACUCUUAAUCUGGUGGAAAAAAUACUUAGGUAGCACAGCAUUCAGGAGGUGGCAUGGAUAUUGCUGGCAGCUUUUAGCCAAGUUUAUUAUGAUAGGAGCAGAAAGCAGAGCAGAAAGAUUUCAAAAAACUUGGUCUUAAAAGAUGGGAAUAAAACUGGGCCUAAAGAAAUUGUAGUUGUUCAAGACUUUACUGCCACUAAGGAAAUGCUAAAGACUUUGCCCAGAGACAAUAAGAAAGAUGGCUUGAGGGGCAUCUCUGGAGCUUGGAAGACCACACCCAUCUCAGGCUCAAAGGAGUAAAAGUGAAAAUUCUCUUAAGACCAGUGGGGAAUCCUUCUUACACAAGGAGACCUAGGAUGUUUUUUCAACAUUCUCAGCUACCCAGACACUCGGAGGCUGCUUCAGCAAGGGAGGCUUGGCUGUGUUCAAGAUGGUGGCAGACCUUGGUGUCAACCAUGUGGUGCUGGUUCUGUAGGAAUGCAGGAUGCUGGAAUUAGGGGGCCAUAGAGGCUUCCAACAAGAUUUCAAAAGAAGGCGUUAGAGCCCAGGCAAAGUGCAGCAGGAUCAGAGGCACUCCCUGAGAUGUCAAAGUGUGGAAGUGUGAGGAAGAAGCCGAAGCUGCAGUGGAGACCCCUAAGAUUAAGAAAUGCCAAUAAUGUGGGACAGUGUCCUAGGAAAGCUGCAGGAAUCAAGCAGAGGCAGGCCACAGAAAGGCCACUUGGGCUGCAAUCAACAAGGUCACAGAAGCAGAGCUACAGAAGCUCGUUGAACAGAACAUCACAAUGCCAUGUGCCCCAGAUGCCAGACAUGGAGCCACAGGUAUUGUUUGUCCAGCUGGAUUUCAGUCUUGCUUUGGUCCUAUCUAUAAGGUCCUUACUUAGCAUCUGGACGGUCAUCUUAAGUGACAGCCGCCAUUUUAUGAAAAUGUUUUGCUUUCCCGCCAAAUUGUGUUUCUGAGAAAGGCUCCCUCACCCAACCCCACCCCUAACCUCCUGCAUUAGAACUCUCCGGCCCUAAUCCCUGAGCCUGCUCCAUAAAAGUCCUGGAGGCCAAGCCUGUGUUGCCUCUCUCUCCUGCAGAGAGAUGGCCUUUAUUUGUCAGCUCUGACAGAUAAACUCUCGUGUGUAGCUCUGCCUGGGCUCCGUCUCUCAUUUCUCGCUUGCCCAUCUCCCAUUCCUCACUUUCCCUUCACUAUCCUUUAUUUCUAUCCCCCUAUAUUUCUGAAUAGAAGUGUCUACUCUGUACCAUUAUAUAUUGGAUACUUUUAAAUUGCUUUAAUUUUAUAGGAGCUCACUUGCAAGAUUGCCUUGAGCCUCAGAGAAGACUUUCAACUUGAACUUUGACCAAUCUCGGAACUGUUGAGAGACUAUGGGGCCGUUUCAGAAUGGGCUGAAUGUCUUUUGCAUUGUCAAAUGGGUGUGAGCUUUGGGGGGCCAAAGUCAGAAUGUUAUGGCCUUGAUGUCAUGUGUGAGAUAAUGCAAGAAGAUUUGGAGGAACAAUUGGGAUGUAAAAGCCUUAACCUAAUCAGCGAAUCAGUCACCUGAUUGGAUUAAUUGAGUGGUAACUGAAGGCGAGUGGGGUGUGGCUGGAGGAGGUGGGGUACUGGGAGCGUGGCUUUGGGGUAUAUAUUUUGUAUCUGGCAGGUGGUAAUCUCUCUCUUUGCUUCCUGAUCGUCAGUGAGCCACUUCCCUCUGCCAUACUCAUCUGCCAUGAAGUUCAGCCUCACCUUUAGCCCCAAGGAAUGGGACCUGCUGCCUGUGGAUUGAGACCUCUGAAACCGUGAGCCCCUAAAUAAGCUCUUCCUCCUUUAAAUUUGUUCUGGUCAGAUCCUUUAAUCAAAGCAGAAAAAAGCUGACUAAAACAACAUUGUGCUUCCUGGUUGACCAGAAGCUGUUGAUCUUCGUGGGACAGAGGCUCCGCCGGGGUCUCCACUGUGCACCGGUGCCAGUCCCAGGCCCACCUCCACCCUCCUGUCUGUCAUACCAGCUGCUUGCAUGGACUUUGAAGGACACAGGUUUGCACACGUGCCCAGAGGAGGAAAGAGCAAGCGAACGUGAAGACCCAGGACACUACAAGUGGCUGGAGGACUUUGUGGGUGUCACAUGAGGAGUGCAAGGAGCCCGUCUGCCCAAAGCCUCCCUCUCAAUGCCCAUCUAGGCAUCUGAACUCUUAAAGGUUCUUAAAUUUGCCUUCAUGCAAAGGAGGCUUGUGUGGGACGAGCCGUGACAUUGAUGCUUCACCAUCCAGGGAGGCUUCCUGGAAAAGGCAUCUUGGACAGACAAGCAAGAAGGCUCCAAGGGAAGGACGGCGCAUGAACGUGAGAUGUGGGGCCUGCCAUGGUGGAGGAUGGCAGGGCCACCCACCCAAGGAACCCUGAGGCCAGAAGAGGCAAGAGGUGGAGCCCAGCACCCAUGUGACCCCUAGGAGUUGGAGAUUUCUGUCUUCAUGAGGAAAAAAAAAGAAAGGGAGACAAGCUCCCCAGGGAGGAACCAAGGAGAGCCUGGCCCCAGGCCGCCCUUCCAGAAGCAUCUGUGCGGAACUGUGGAGGACUCAUUUUGUUUUGUUUCCAGUACUUCUUGAACAAGUAGUUGUGUAAAUUUGAUUACCAGAAAAAUGAAAUUUCAAAAGAAAUAUAGGACCCAAGUCCCAAAUUUAUUCUCCAAA
rnacentral:lncRNA from 1 species